rnacentral:rRNA from 1 species
UACGAAGGGGGCUAGCGUUGCUCGGAAUCACUGGGCGUAAAGGGUGCGUAGGCGGGUCUUUAAGUCAGGGGUGAAAUCCUGGAGCUCAACUCCAGAACUGCCUUUGAUACUGAGGAUCUUGAGUACGGGAGAGGUGAGUGGAACUGCGAGUGUAGAGGUGAAAUUCGUAGAUAUUCGCAAGAACACCAGUGGCGAAGGCGGCUCACUGGCCCGGUACUGACGCUCAGGUGCGAAAGCGUGGGGAGCAAACAGG